GUAAAGAGCUCGUUUGCGGAGCAAGUAUGAUACGCAUGGCCCACUAAAACAGAUUUAAAGAGAAUUAGGUGUAUUGAGAUAAACCAACAUCACACAUCAACAUGUAGAAUUCAUUUAAUUUAACAAUACAUUAGAUGAAAAGGCAUAAAUGAAAUGAAAAACAUUACAGUUCAUGAAUAUCUUAUAUUAUAACACCACAUAAUUAUGAUCACAAAUUUAUAAUAGCACAUUUGAAAUAUCUAGUUGAUAAAUCAAGAUACCUAUCUUAAUUCAACACUGUGGCCUUGUUUGGCACUGAGGUUCUGAUAAAAAAGCGCUUUUUCUGAAAAAUUGGAGCUCUUAUUACUAAAAUAUAUCAUUUUUAAUACCAUCUAACAUACAGAAAAGUGCUUUUCUUAAAACCAGUUUCAAUAGGCAAAUAGCAUUAGUUUUUCCCCAGAUAAAGGAAUUCAAGACUGUGAAUGAAUUGGGGGUAAAAAAGCAUAAAAUAGAUAAAUUGAAUUAAUAUGAACUAGUAAAUCCCAAGGAUGAGAGGUGAGAACAAACGGUAAGAAGGAAAGGUUUUCCUUCCAAAGAAUUAUAAUUUAUCAGAAUUCACGAAUAGUAUCAAAGUCAACCGUAUGUCAUAGAAAGUCAAAAAGCGUUAUUUAAAAUAAUAAAAAAGUAAGUGUAAUUCAACAAUCAGGAGCCAAAGAAACUAAUAGGAAACGAAAAAAAUGAUAACCAUAACCAAGAAGAGCUAGAUCUACUUUCCAAAAGCAAAUAAGCAGUAUCAAGAGUACUCACCACCAAAAAGAAAAGCAGCAAUCUGCACCCUCAUACCAACAAAUCGAAGAAAACACACAUAUCAGAGAAAUUAAAUUAACAAAUAAACAGCACUAUACCUUAUAAAGUACACAGAAAGACAUAAAUAAACAUACAAGGGGUGUCAGCUUGGAUGGUUCUCAUGAGAUCAGUGUGCCAGAGAUUCCUGUAAUUCUGGCGGAUCUGCAUCUUGUCCAGAUGCUCCCGAGAAGCCAUGGCGACCCAAAAGCAGGCACACCACUAGAUUGCGGAGAUUUGAGAAUUGAAAUCAGAGAUAUCGAGUGUGUAGGGAAGCGCAAGAAAGAGUCCUUUUGACUCGUUGGACGAAGUUUCUUCGUUGUCGAGACUCUUCAGAACUCCACCAUCCUUCAAAUCAAAGCCGAUAUAAACUACAAUAGGAGGAAUUCUUCCCAAUGCUAAGACGAGGACUUUGAAGGAUGGUG
rnacentral:misc_RNA from 1 species